AGAACGAACGCUGGCGGCGUGGAUUAGGCAUGCAAGUCGAACGCGAAAGAGGGAGUAAUCCCUCGAGUAGAGUGGCGAACGGGUGAGUAACGCGUGAAGAACCUGCCUUCAACAGGGGGAUAACACUCCCAACGGGGUGCUAAUACCGCAUGAGACCACGGGGUCGCAUGGCCCUGAGGUCAAAGGUGGCCUCUAUUUAUAAGCUACCGGUUGAAGAUGGCUUCGCGUCCCAUUAGCUAGUUGGCGGUGUAAAAGACCACCAAGGCGACGAUGGGUAGCUGGUCUGAGAGGAUGGUCAGCCAGACUGGGACUGAGAUACGGCCAGACUCCGUACGGGAGGCAGCAGUCGAGAGGCUUUGGCAAGUGGGGAACCCUGACCAAGCGACGCCGCGUGGAGGA
rnacentral:rRNA from 1 species